UCUCGGCCCAGCGCGUCAUCAACGCGCCGGGUCAUGUAUAUACAUUGGAAUAUACACGAGGAUGUGCGUUAUGCUCUGGCUCAGUUCUGACCGGACGCUGCGUUAAACCACUCCUCCCCGGAAAAUUUCAAAUUUCUCGGACACCAACCACUAAAAUGAAUCUGAGCGUAUCUCUAUUGGCCUGGAUGAUGGUGUCAUGGGUUACAAUACAGUAUGGAUUGGGCAUGACCGGGGGCGGGUGGCAGUCAGAGAUUCAAUUGGUUCCGUCGACGUCUCCUACAUCUCCCAGCAGAGCAACGUCAUACAGACGUCCCGGAGUGACGUCACCGAAGAGGGCGUCACGUGGCUCUUCAACUGCUCCGUCACUGAGUCUAUUCGCCCGGUGGAAAAAUCGCCAACUGAAGAAAAAGCAGGAGAAAGAGGAGAAGGAAAAGGCCGCCGCGAAGACGAGAAAACCUGUCCGCAAGGAUGGGCCGCCUAUACUUAUUUGGAGCACCUUGGACAAUAUAAAGGCAGGCGCCUGGAUCGAAAUGGUAGGAAGUAUGAAGACAAACGACGUUUGUAACGACAAAAAGUACGAUGUCGGACGCGCUAAAGAGUACUGCAAGCGAGUGACGGGAUUGUUGGACCGACUCCCGCCAUGGACGAGGUCAAAAGAUUGCCGCCGCGUAACCAACGGAAGAUGUGUCAGACAGAAUGGUGGAAAAAUGUGCGUGGUUGACACAUACACCAAGGAACCAUAUUGCAGCGGAUUCUUAUAUCACAAGAAAAUUGAAAAAACAAAUCAGCCUUUCACGGCCUGUCUCGGCCUCCUCUCAAUCGUGAAACCAUCAGAAGGUUUAGACGAAAAUGAUAACUUUGACCCUGACAGUGGCGUGCGGUCCGGGUAAGCAAGGCAAGCACUGCUUUCCCGAAGAUUUCAAAAGAAAGAAGAAAAUUACACCUAUUAAAUGUUUUACAUUUUAGCAAAUAUAAUUUACCAGGGGCCCGUGGCCGCUACGCGGCCUCCAAAACAUUUGUAAAAAACUACACGUAAAAAAUUAUAGCACAACUAUGUUCAGGUUAUUUAAGAGAUGAAUCGAUUCAAAAUUGGACGUGUGCACGCAAAGGAAAGCGUAUUUAAUUUUAUUUUUGUGCCCGAAUUUAUGUUGUAAUUUAGAUAUCCGGAUACUAUUAGAUUAACCUGAAAAAAAUAAUUUAAUGUUAAUAAAUUCAUGUUUCACUAAAUUGCUAAGAAAAGUGUUCCAAAAAAUUUGAGCAUAUUUAUUUUCAUUUUGACUGCUAGGGGUAAUUAAAUAAUUUAACU
rnacentral:lncRNA from 1 species